UGUGGGAGCGGGCUUGCUCGCGAUACCGGCGGCGCGGUGUUCCAGUUAAACCGCGUCGAUGCCAUCGCGAGCAAGCCCGCUCCCACA
rnacentral:misc_RNA from 1 species